CCCCGCUUUCGGCAAUCUCAGGCAGCGAUCGGAGAGUUCCGUCGCGCUUGCUCGUGUAGUUCCGUGUCGCUCUCGGAUAUUUCCGUCUUCGCUCGUAGAUUUUCGCCUCCAUCUCGGGGGUUUCGGCCGAGACCUCUCGGAGAGUUCCGGCAUCAAUCGGCUUCUUUCGCCUCACUCCCUCGGGGAUCUCCGUAGAGCUUUCGGAUGUUUCCGCCGGGCGCUGAGCCGUUCCCGCCUUUUGGGGGCGCGGGCGAGGGCGAGUUUGCGCUGAGGCGCAGUGCGAGGGCUCGUGAGGGGCUUGCCUGUGGUGGGGGAUCCCGUGAAGGGUCCCGUGAGGGGCCGACUGUAACCGGGGAUUCUGUGAGGGGACCCGUGAGGGAUCCCGUGAAGUGCCGCGCUGGGGCCAGGUCGGGGAUGCCGUGGGUCCCGUGAAGGGCUGGGCUGCAAUCGUGGAUUCUGUGAGGGGUCCCGUGAGGGACCGCGCUGGUCGCGGAUCCCGUGAAGGGCCCCUUGAGGGGCUGCACUGGGACCGGGGAUCCUGUGAAGGGUCCCUUGUGGGCUUGGGGAUCCCCUGUGAGGGCUGGGCUGGGCUCGGGAAUCCCAUGAGUAGUCCAGUGGUCCAGUGAGGAGGCGGGCCGGGGGCUGGGAGCAGGAGUCUCAUGAGGGGGCCAGGUUGAAGCUGGGGGUUCUGUGAGGGGUCUGGUCUGGUGCCAAUGCUACGAUGGUUCCAGGUUGGGGCCGAGCUCUCCUCGUUGCUGUUGCAAGGCAGAGCCUGGCGCCUGGUGCUGGAGAUCCAGAGUCGUCAGUGGUAACACAGAUAGAGAGGCCUGAAGUGCUCGUUGUCUGCGAUGCUCUCGACAGGGACCAAUUCUUUGCAUGGAUCCAUUUGAUUUACAAGGAAUUUGGUGAGUUUUUUAAACAUUCUGCUGUGGCUGAGGUUUUGAAACAAAGCCAAGUGGAUUUGUGCUUUGGGAAAGAGGGAAAACAACCUAAGCCAAAUUACUUGACAUAAUACCAGGACACUGUAACAAAGUGUGACUUUAAUGAUUAAGAAGAUUUCCAAAUAAUGACCCAAAAUCCCCUUCAUGGUCCAGGGCCACAAGUUUCACAGGGUUGUUACAGGGAGAGUUUUAAGAGGAAGCAGCAGGAGCUGUGGGUUGUUUGUCCUCGUUCGCCUUUGCUGGUGAACCUCAGUGAUAGUGCAGUUGGCAAAGAUUUCAGGCCCUCAGGGUGCUGAUUUUGAGGACAAAUGUCUGCCAAAAUAGAGAGAAAUCAGCCCAGCCUUGUUGGGCAGACCCUGGUGAUGUGCAGGGGAGAGGCUGGUGUUUGAGGGCCAGAAAAAAAUCCCUUUUUGUUUUCUGAGACAGCUUGCUUUUAUCAAAAAGUUUCAGUUUCGCUUUUCUGGUGUUUUACGGGAUGGAACUGGGGAGGGAAAUUGGGCAAUCAAGACUGGUUUUGGUGGGAAGGGGGUUAAGGCUGAUCCCAUUCCCCCCCCUGCCCUGGUCAGGUACACCUUCCAGUCUGCCAGGCUGCUCCAAGCCCUGCCCAGCCUGGCUAUAGACUCUUCCAUGGAUAGGGCAGCCACAGCUUCUCUGGGCAACCUGUUCUGGGGCCUCAGCACCCUCAGACAGAGGAAUUUCUUCCCAUUAUCCCAUCUAACCCUGUCCUCUUUGCCAAAUUCCAAAGACAAAUAGCCUUGCUUAGCCCAUGCAGGACUCAUUCCCUUGAAGGUUUCCAAGAAGAGAAGAAAAACUGAUGAAGAGCACUUAACAGAGAGCUCCCACCAAUCCUCUCCCCUAUCCAAAGCUCUGGGAUAGUGCACUUGCCUGUCUGUGGGUGAUGAGUGUGCAGAGCAGUGGGGCUGCUGUGGUGAUGUGGCCUCUGGAGAGCAGCAGGACUGGGGAGAAUUUCUCUGGCUUCCCUUGUGCUCAGAGGUGUGGAAGUGUUUGCGAAGUACAGGAGCUGUGAGCCGCACAGGAAGCUCGCGCCACCAGAAAGUCACAGCAAACAGUAAAUUAAUUUCUCUUACCUUGCUACACGGGAGGUUCACUGAAGAAACACCUGGACAGGAGACCUGGAAGACCUCUGACUGUUUGUAAGUGCUUCUCAGAAGUUGUUCCCAGCUGUGAGGUCACUUCAGCAAUGGUACAUCCUCAGUGUUCUGCUUCCACAAAUCGGCCGUUGCUUGCGUAACACUUCCUUUUUUACUCAUUGAGCAGAGUCUGUUACAGGGACUGUGAAUAACUGGAACUUCUACAGAUGUAGGAGAUGUGAGCCCAUCCCUGGAAGUGUCCUAGACCAGACUGGACAGCAGAUGGAGAAAUGGACUCAGGAGGGGAUAUUGGGAAGAAAUUCCUCUCUGUGAGGCUGGACAAGCCCUGGCACAGGUGCCCAGAGCACCAGCUGUGCUGGCACAGG